rnacentral:rRNA from 1 species
GACGAACGCUGGCGGCGUGCCUAAUACAUGCAAGUAGAACGCUGAAGGAGGAGCUUGCUCUUCUGGAUGAGUUGCGAACGGGUGAGUAACGCGUAGGUAACCUGCCUGGUAGCGGGGGAUAACUAUUGGAAACGAUAGCUAAUACCGCAUAACAGUAGAUGUUGCAUGACAUUUGCUUAAAAGGUGCAAUUGCACCACUACCAGAUGGACCUGCGUUGUAUUAGCUAGUUGGUGGGGUAACGGCUCACCAAGGCGACGAUACAUAGCCGACCUGAGAGGGUGAUCGGCCACACUGAGACUGAGACACGGCCCAGACUCCUACGGGAGGCAGCAGUAGGGAAUCGUCGGCAAUGGACGGAAGUCUGACCGAGCAACGCCGCGUGAGUGAAGAAGGUUUUCGGAUCGUAAAGCUCUGUUGUAAGAGAAGAACGAGUGUGAGAGUGGAAAGUUCACACUGUGACGGUAUCUUACCAGAAAGGGACGGCUAACUACGUG